GCCAUUUUGGGAGCGCUGCGAGGCGGUCUCUCGUCCAGCGUGGCCUGCUCUCAUGGCGCCGCUGAAACCUCGCUCCUCGUACGAAGCAGCAGCUGAAAUCGUCUUCCUGAGGGGGUGAUUGAGGAAUGGCAGCUAGCCCUCCACAACCAUUGCACAGGUGCACUCUCCAUCGAGGAGGAGCUGGUGGGUGCUCAGGAGUCAGCUGGACCUUGCCUGCACUGCCCUAGGCCUGUGACAUCCUCUCAGCCUGUACCCAGGCAGCUGUCGAGCUCCAGAUGCCAUGUGUCUGCGUGGGCACCUCGAGGAAUGCUGCACGCUUAAAACCUUUAGAUACCACAGGUUUGGCUUUUGUUGUGUUCUCUAGUCUUCCAAACACAUGGCUUAUCAGUGCCCCACACACAGGGGCAGAAGAUCAUCACCAGCUGUAUGCCAUCAGGCCCUGUGAAGUUGGCACUGUUGCCCACUGCCAGCAAGGCAGAGCCCCUCACUGUCCUGACAUUAGGGUUCCUGCCACCCUGCAGCUCCCUGCAGCAGCAUUCCCUUCUCUGUAGAUGUUGUCCACUUCUGUGGGCCACACUUGAGGCAACGUCAGGUCAAUCCGCAUGAUGACGAAUUGGUGGAGGGCUGCCAAAGCCAAGUUGGAGGCUGGCCACACAGAAGGACGCCACAGGGGCAUAUGCCGUGCUGAGAGGUGAAGAUGCUGAACCUCACCUGGGGUGUGCCUGCAAAGGGCUCUCGAUGAUGGUGACCCAAGACUUGGUGACUGCCUUCCUCUGCCACAACCAUGACAGCCUCCAGAGACUGCUUCCUGGCAGAGUCCAGUGUUCUCUGACCAGGCUUUUUUAGAUGUCCACACAUGGAAGGUCCAAUGUUUAAAACAGAGUUUACUCUUUUGAGGCUAUUUGCAUUUACAAGAGUUUUCCAUUUAGUAGGGAGAUACAGCAGUCAGUAUAAAGGCAUGUUACAUUUUGCAGACUAUUGCAUUUCCAGUAUACUGUGGAAUCACAAUAUAGUUGUGAAUUUCA